rnacentral:rRNA from 1 species
GAUGAACGCUGGCGGCGUGCUUAACACAUGCAAGUCGAACGGAAAGGCCGAAGCUUGCUUGGGUACUCGAGUGGCGAACGGGUGAGUAACACGUGGGUGAUCUGCCCUGCACUUCGGGAUAAGCCUGGGAAAGUGGGACUAAUACCGGAGAGGAGAACGUCGUAGUUGUUGUGGUGGAAAGUUUAUGCGGUGUGGUAUGGGCUCGCGGCCUAUCAGCUUGUUGGUGGGGUAAUGGCCUACCAAAGCGUCUACGGGAAGCCGGUCUGAGAGGGAGUACGGCCACACUGGUACGGAGAUACGGACCGGGCUACUUCGGGAGGCAGCAGUAGGGAAUAUUGCACAAUGCGGCGUGUCCUGAUGCAGCGACGCCGCGGUGGAGAUGUCGGCCUUGGGGUUGUAAACUCCUUGCGCAAAAGACGAUUUUAUGACGGUACUUGGAGAAGAAGCACCGGCUAACUACGUG